rnacentral:misc_RNA from 1 species
GUUUGACUCCUCUGUACUUCAGUCAUUAGCUAAAGUAGACUCCAGCAGGGUUAGUCCACACUCUAGUUUACUGAAAAAUCUGGCAUUGAGUAGAAAUAUGAAUUCCACUACUUGUAAAACUGUUAAGUCAGAACCUGUAGAAGAAGCCUUGGUACAAGCUAAUGCUAGAACAUUGGAGGCGAAGGUAGGAAAACCUGAAGUUGUGAGGCAGAAUCUGCAGUCUAUUGAGUUGUCAACUAAAGGUCCUCAGGAAUUACUUCAGGAAAAACCAAUGAAAUGUGAACCACUCCAUGAAGUUAGCCAGGAAAUAUCCAUGACAGCAAAUGUGAUUGCUCACCAAUCAGUUGCAAGGGUUUUGCAGCUUCAGGAGAGUUCCUCUUGUUCCUCUUCUUCUUCGACAUUGCCAAUGCCUUUGACCCCUCCACUGGGAUGCCCUUCUAGAUUGUCUACCUGUUCAGAUUUGUCUGUGAGUGGUGGAGACUUGUCUACUCCGUCUGAGUACUCUGCUCAUACUAAUGAAGCUACUAGGAUUAAAAAUGCUCUAGAUCAGGCAAAUGCUGAUAUGGCUGCUCUAAAUGCAAACUUUGAACUCAAAGAAUCAAAUGUAUCCAGUGAUAAAGUAGAGGCAUCUGUUUCAGCGGGCAUGAAUAUUGAAGAUCACAUGGUGCGCAAAAAGAUACAAGACCCACAUAAUGUGUUUGCAAGUGUUGAAGGAUCGGCAAAUGAUGAGGAAAAGAUAAGUAUAUCAGCUGGUACAGAAGAAGAAUGUUAUGGUUCUGAUUAUGAAUCUGAUGGUCAUCAUGCUUUUGCUGGACAUGUUGACUCUGAGAAUGUGGGGUGUGGCAGAGAGGAUGAGGAAUAUGAAGACGGUGAGGUCCGAGAACCAAUGAUGCCGUCGAUUGAAGAAGACCCAAUUGCUGAGGGGAUGGAAUCAGAGAAAAAUAAUGUAUCUUCCAGCAAAAAUGCUCGUUCUUCUGGCAUUGGGGAAUCUCAUUGCUUCAAUAAUGAUGACAAAGGUUACAGUAUACCUGUUCAUACGGAUAAUGAUGACCUUGUGAAAGGCUGUGAUGAAAAAACUGUCCAAAUUGAUCAUAAAGAUGGUAAGUUGCAGAGUCCAUUAUUAGGUAAGGAGGAAACAACAGGAGAUGAUGAGGAGAGGCCAAUUGGCGCUGUUCACCAAGGAUCAGUUGAUCAAUCAGGAAUAGCAGAUGAUCAGGAGAGAUGUGAAAAGGACGUCUUUUGUGACGUAACACCUGUUGGAAGCAGUGGGGCUGGAAGAAAUGCUGGUGAGGCUAAUAACGAGUAUAUUGGAAGAUCUGAUAUGUCAUCGACAGCUGUGUCAUCUUUGCAAAAUGCCGAAACACCUGUUAAUGCUGCCUCUAGUAAAGAUAUGACAAAUUUUGGAAGCAAGAGCCGUAUAAUCAGCUUACCUCGUGCAUCCAAUGUGACACCACCUAGUAAUUUCAGACCUGUUACAGGUAGAUCACUGCCUUCAAGAAGUGGAAGAGAAAGGUAUUCAGAUAUGGAGGAGGAGAAAUUUCAUCUACGAAGGAAUAGGGAAGAAACUUGUGCUGAUGGUCCUAAAUUUGUGCGAGAUAGGAUUCAGGACCGGUCAUUUGGCAGCUCAAGGGGGAACUUCAUGCGGGGAAGAGGGAGGGGCUCAGCCCGAUUUGACAGUUUACGUAGAGAAUGGGAUUCUGGGCGUGAUUUUGAUAGCUAUGGAGGUGUAGCUGAUUAUCGCUUUAGACCUAAACGUAGACCUACUGUCGGGGAAUCUGAAAUUGAACGUAACGAUGGACCGGAUGGUCAUUUUGUUCGGGGCAAUACAAAGUUUACCACAAUGCAGAGAAGAGGUUUCCCUCGAAUGCGGUCUAAAUCUCCUGUUAGAUCUCGUACACGGUCCCCUGGCCCUUGGUCAUCUCCUCGGAGGAGAUUGAAUGAAGGAUAUAAUAAUGGUCCCCCAGAUUCAUCUCAUCACAGGUCACCAGCUAUGUACAGGGAAGAUAGGAUGAGGUCUUCUCCACGGACUUCUUUCACUGAAGAGAUAGUUCUCCGAAGACGUGAUUCCCCCUCAUAUACUACUCGGCGUCUGAAUGAUUUGCGGGACGUGGAUGCUGUACAGGAGCACAGUCAUCCGAGGUCUCUUUCUAGCAGAAGAAGUCCACCUGAUCGGGUAUUUACUAGAAGCAAUAGGAGACUUGAGGUUUUAGAUCGUCGGGAGAGGGCUGAUGGGGAUGAGUACUUUGAUGGGCCGAUACACACUGCUAGAUUUCAUGAUCUUCGUGGUGGUGGAAGUACCGAUGAGAGAAGGAAGUAUGGUGAGAGGCGUGGAGGACCCAUUCGUUCUUUUCGUCCUUCUUAUAACAGUGAAAAUGACAAUUUCCGUUUGCACCCAAGUGGUGGUCCUAGGCCUUUUAGGUUCUAUCAAGAAGCUGAUGCAGAAUUUGUUGAAAGAAGUAAUACUAGAGACAGAGAAUUUGAUGAUACUAUCAAGGAUCGACCUUUACCUAGACGAAUGAGAAACGUCGAAGAGCAAGAAGGUGGUAAUUUUAGACAGAGUGGGCAGCUUUGGCACGACGAGGAAUUUGAUGUCUCCAGAUUGAAGAGAAGAAGAUUUUGACUUGAUAAACCUGAAAUAUCAACAGCUGCACCAUGGGAAACACUGUUUCAGCAUCUGUUUGUUCCCGAAAGUGAAUUGUUGUUCCUUGCUGACGUGUACAGGUGAUAUGCUGCGUGUAACUGAGGAACAGAGACAGACUUUUGAAUGCAUCUUGACAAAUGUUAAAUGUUGAAGAGAAAGAAGGCGACGGUCAAAAUAGGGUUCUUGCCUGAAGAGGGUUGAUGUCUCCUCUAUAAAAAAGAAGCAGUUCUUGACUUGAUAUCUCCACUGAACCUCGAAUCUUUGGGGAGAAUGCACUGAUGCAUGUCUUUAUUUCAGUAAAAAAAGAAGGUUUGUUGCUAGUAGGCCGUCCAAGGAACGUGCUUUUACCAUUGCUUUCUUUUGGAGGAGAAAACUACUAGUUUAAUAUGCUCUACUAUGCUGGCUUGAAUGCUAUUUUUACUAGUUUUAAGUUGCUAAUAUGCAUGCUGGCUUUGUGUAAAGCUUCUGGGUUCAGUGGUUCUAACCAGCUUGUGUUGGCCAGUUAGAGAAACAGGCCAGUGAUGGGAACUUAUCCAAGGUUAAAUUAUGCAGGUUAAGUAUGAUAUUUAACAAUAACACCAUCUGUGACACCUUUAUCAUUGAUGAGAUGGAUGUACA